AUGGACAAGCGGCCUGGACGGUGGCCACACGUGCGGCUCCCUCGUCCAAGUGGCCUGUGGGUCUGUCCGUGUGUCCGUGUCCCAGGGCGCACCCUCCACAGGUGCCAAGUCCAGGCUUUGCCGAAUACCGACCUACGUUUGCUCUCCCCAGGCCAGGGCCCGCUCCGCAGCACCGUGUCCCGAACCCGCACAGCUCACCUGCCCGAGGCUCUGCUGCCUUGGGGUACAGGGGGGCCCAGAAGUCUCCCCGGACCGGGCUCGGCGCGCCGGCUCCGCAGGUUCGGCUCGGUCCUCCGCGGGGCUCCCCGCCGCCCGCAGCCCGGCCCGCGGGGACCCAGCGCUCACCUGGGCUGCGGCCUGCGCGACCUGGGCCCCGGGCGGGGCGGCCUCGGGGCGGCGGCCCUCACCGCACGCUCCCACCUGCGCGUCGGGCCGCGGAGGGCUGGCCCCGGACUGGCCGGCGGAGGCGGCGCCGGGAGGGCAGGGCGGGGCGGGAGGGAGGGAAGGAGCGGGGAGGGAAGGAGGGGGGAGCGGGGAGGGAAGAGCGGGGAGGGAAGGAGCGGGGAGGGGGGCAGGGAGGGGGGAGCGGGGAGGGAGGGAAAGGGCGGGAGGGGGAAAGGAAGGAGUGGGGAGGAGGAGGGAGGGAGCGGAGAGGUAGGGAGGGAAGGAGUGGAGGGGGGAGCAGAGAGGGAGGGAAGGGGCGGGAGGGGGGAGGGAAGGAAUGGGGAGGGGGAGCGGGGAGGGAGGGAAGGGGCGGGAGGGGGGAAGGAAGGAGUGGGGAGGGGGGAGCAGGGAGGGAGGGAAGGGGCGGGAGGGAGGAGGGAAGGAAUGGGGAGGGGGAGCGGGGAGAGAGGGAGCGGGAGAGAGGGAGCGGGGAGGGAGGGAGCGGAGAGAGGGAGCGGGAGGGAGGGAGCGGGGAGGGGGGAGCGGGGAGAGAGGGAGCGGGAGAGAGGGAGCGGGGAGGGGGGAGCGGGGAGGGAGGGAGCGGGAGGGAGGGAGUGGGAGGGAGGGAGCGGGGAGGGAGGGAGGGGAGCGGGGAGGGAGGGAGGGAAGGACGGGGAGGGAGCCCGACCUGGCCGCCUCGGGGACCGAGCGCGCCCGGAAUCCGGGGAGAAGGAGCGCCCGCCCUCCUGGGCGCGCAGCCUUGGGACGUGGGGGGCGGCGGCGAGGGGCUCCGGGGUGCGCGCGAGGGCUCAGCCGGUCCCUCUGGGCGCCCGACCCGGGUGCGGGGGGCGCAGCGCCCGCUGGGGCCCGGCGACCGGGCGGGUGGGGCCCUCCUGCGGCCCCGGGGACCCCGCGGCCGAGCCCGGGGCAGGCCGGCUCCAGCGCCGCCGCAGGCCCUCGCGGGGCCGCCCCCCUCUCCGCGCCGGGCCCCCCUGCGGCCCCCGGGUGCCCGCACAGCCCAGCCGGCCGCGGCUCCCCUUCCCGGAGCCCGGAGCCUUGGGAUGGGCUCACCUGGCGCCGCGUUACCUGGAACCUGCCGGCCCGCAGCAGAGGUCGGGGCGCCGUGGCGGGGAGUCGGGGCCCAGCCCGGUGCACCUGCGCGGGGGGGGGGGGGGGGCGCGGUGA
rnacentral:lncRNA from 1 species